rnacentral:lncRNA from 1 species
AUAGCUCCGAAUGAAGGGGUAAGCCAUACACACAUGUUGAAUUCGCACUCUCCAAUCUACUGAUGAAAUUUAAGACCGCUUAAUAUUGCAAUGUUUGUGGGUUUGAAUGGGACUUUCAAAAGCUAGUUCAUGAGAUGAAGUGGGUGUUUGGUUGCACGGUUAAAAACUCAAAAAGCACUUCCAGUUUACUUAAAGCAAUUUUGGGUUGUUUGGUUCUCUCCAAACGUGAUGACGAUGUCCUACGGUUCCUGCUCAAAAUCAAUUCUAGGUGAAGCUGCUAUUGCUAGCUUCUGAAAAUCGAUUCUUCAACUGCAGGUUUGCCUUCCAUCAAAAUCUCUUUUUUGCCCUUGAUUUGUACUGCUUUUCACCUCCCUCAUAACUUUCCAUCUAAUCAGAAUUCAUAACUCGUUUCAAAAUUCGAAUGCAAAUAUGAUAGUUUUCAUAAUUCAGUUUUGAUAACAUUGCAUUUGAUGUGUUUGAUAAAAUGCCUAAUAAAAAAACAAUUUAUUUCUUUUGUUUUCCUUGACCUUAGUUAUGAUUGUUUAUUUUUUUUCUUCUUGAAAUAUUAAUGAUAUUGAUGGAGUUUGAAAAUAGCUUCUAUGUUUUUCAUCAAAUGAUAAUGAGAUUGAUGAAUAUUAUUUGCAUUGUAUGAGUGCUUUAUAUUUACUCUUAACAGGUUUUAGAUGUCUGUGUUUUUUGCUUCAGAUUUGUUGUGCACUUAUCCUCAAUAAACUCUAUAUUUCAGUUUUAAGUGGUUCUAUAUAAGCUCUAUUUUUUGGUUCAGUUUUAACUGGUAUUUUGGCUAUGAUUUGCUGGUUUUUUUGUUCAAUUUUUACCACCCUUUUGGUUCAGUUUUACCUAUUUUUUUGGUCCAAUUUUGCUGGUUUAUUGUUCUGAUCAUAGUUAUUUGCAAUGCCAUGAUUUCUUAUGUUUGUGGAUUGAGACAUUGUUGAUGGUUUGAGUAGACAAGUUUAAGCAUCAUAAUGAAGCAUUUGCCAAGAAUGUAAUGGAUUCCUUCAGAUUCAAAUGUUGUAAUUGUUUUAGCAGUGAGAAUAGAUAGAUGUCCUAAACUCAUGCAUUUUUUUUUUUUGCGAGAUUUAUAGUUAUUAGUAUUAGCUGAUCUUCUAUUUUACUGCAUCUUUUCUUGCUAUAACAUUUCAAUGGCAUAUUGUUUUCCACACUCAUGCAUAGAGUUUAAACUAUCUUCAAACCAAGGAAAAAUCUAUCAAAAUCCAAUUCUUGGUUAUAUGGGUUCUGUAUGGACUAACUUCUAACUAUUUACCUUUUGACAUUCAAGAUAGCUCCUGAUUUAUUGAAUGGAUUAGACUAAGUGUUUAUCUUUCAGAAUUGAAGUUAUUGAUAUAGAAUUGUGUUAGGAAUUAUUGUUUUGAUCAUACAUAUUUGGAACAUUGAAAAAUAGAAGUGCUAAUAUCAUGAAGCUAUGUUUUUGUAAUGUCAUGAUUGACAGUAGCCAAAUCUCAUUGGGGGGUUGAAUUGUGUUUUCUUUUUCUCCUAAAAAAUCUUCUUCUGAUAUCACUUCAGAAGCUGUUUGAGAGUGCUUCUGAUGUGAUGUUCAAAAUCUGAUACGCAGCGGAAUAAAAACAGAGUAGAGAAAAGAAAGAGAGACACAAACAAUUAUCCUGGUUUCUUCCACAAACCGGAAGUAGUCUAGUCCCCCUUGCACUUCCAAGGAGAUUUUCACUAAGAAAUAAUCACACAGAUUAAACUGCUCAAUACUACCUAGUAUGAGACUUCCCAAAUGCUCAAGCACGCAGGCAAGAGACUUCCAAUGCUCAAGCACUAAAGCAAGAGACUUCCUAUGCUCAAGCACUAAAGCAAGAGACUUCUAAUCAAACAGAAUUACACAAAAAAUUGUUUGAGUUUGAACACUUGAUAUACAAUCAGUGGUGUUCACAAUACAAUGCAAUUGAAAGACUCUAGACUUAAGAAUUUCUAAGAUAUAUCAAAUCAACACAGAAAUUCACAGUGCUUUUGAGAAACAAAUUUGGCAGAGUUUGGGCGCUUUUAACUUGUUGUAAUGUCUCUAGUGAUCUUCAAGUCUUCAUUCCUUUAUAUAGGGGUGUGUAGAGAGACGUUGAGAUCUUAAGCACGUCUAAAGAGUCGUUGAGAAACCUUGAUCAAUACCAAUGAUCUUUUGCCUGAUUUGGAUGUUGUCCUAUGAAGGAUCAAGUUCAAAUCCAUUCCUAUCUUGAAGGAACAUUUCUGCAGGCAGAGCUGGUGUCUUGUCUUGUAGCGUAGACACAAUCAGAGUCGUGGAGGUAGUGGUUGUACACUUGUACUUUGUCAACUCUUCAAUAAAGGACAAGCACCCAGUGCUUUUCAAAUGAACGUUGGCGCCUUCCUCUUUGUCUUUUGCUCUCUUAGACGAGUUUAAAUCCAAUAGACAACUCUUAGAGUCUUCAGGUUGAAUCUUCUUAUCAACUUGCAGAUUCUGAUGUUGUACAGCUUCUGAACAAAUGGCUUCUGAAGGUCUUGCUUCUGAUGAUGUCAUCAGAUGCACUUUGCCUUCAGACGCACUUUAAACUUCAGAUGCAGAUUUCUUCAGAUGCUUCUAGGUUUCUCUUCUUGUUGAUUCCUUUGACCCUGCAAGACCUAUUUUGUUGAUCAACUUUGUCUACGGUCUUGUACACUUGAACAAAUAUUAGCAAUAUCCAAUUGACAAUUUUUAAUACCUUGUUAUCAUCAAAACUCAUUAAGGUUUAUUAUAAAACACAUUUUGUUCCAACAAUUGUUACCAGGAACAUUAAACAGAUCAUACUUAUCAGGAAGUUGUUUUAGAUUUUACCACCUCUUGUUAAGAUUUACUUUUUGCCCUGCCAUUUUUGACAGUAGACAAAUCUCAUUACUAAUUUUUACUAAUUAUUUACCUUUGAAAGUAGCCAAAUCUCAUUGCAAGAAUGAAGAAUCAAAUGAAGACGAUGAUUGUUGUAAUGUUUUAAAUUUGUAUUGCACUUUAUAUUAUAUUCUCUAUUUGUAAUUUUAACGAGUACUUCAUUUUUUAUUUUUUUUAAGGAUUAACAAGUACUUCAUGUUAAAUAUAUAUCCCCUACAUGUAUUUUUAUUUGAAUAUUGUG